rnacentral:rRNA from 1 species
CCUACGGGGGGCAGCAGUGAGGAAUAUUGGUCAAUGGGCGCAAGCCUGAACCAGCCAUCCCGCGUGCAGGAUGACGGCCCUAUGGGUUGUAAACUGCUUUUGUUUGCCAAGAAUGGUUACUACGUGUAGUAAUUUGACGGUAGCAAAUGAAUAAGGACCGGCUAACUCCGUGCCAGCAGCCGCGGUAAUACGGAGGGUCCAAGCGUUAUCCGGAUUUAUUGGGUUUAAAGGGUGCGCAGGCGGAACUUUAAGUCAGUGGUGAAAUCUUGCCGCUUAACGGUAAAAUUGCCAUUGAUACUGAAGUUCUUGAAUGUAGUUGAGGUAGGCGGAAUGUGUUGUGUAGCGGUGAAAUGCAUAGAUAUGACACAGAACGCCAAUUGCGAAGGCAGCUUACUAAGCUACUAUUGACGCUGAGGCACGAAAGCGUGGGGAGCGAACAGGAUUAGAUACCCCCGUAGUC